GGGGAGGUGGUUGAGUGGUUGAAAACAACGAUUUGCUAAAUCGUCACACUAUUCGAAGUGUCAUGGGUUCGAAUCCCAUUCUUCCCA
rnacentral:tRNA from 1 species